GACGAACGCUGGCGGCGUGCUUAACACAUGCAAGUCGAACGGAAAGGCCCAGCUUGCUGGGUACUCGAGUGGCGAACGGGUGAGUAACACGUGGGUGAACUGCCCUCGACUCUGGCUUAAGCCUGGUAAACGGGGCCUAUUACCGGAUAUGACCUUACAUCGCAUGGUGUUUGCUGGAAAUCUUUUGCGUUUCAGGAUGGGUCCGCGGCCUAUCAGCUUGUUGGUGGGGUAUUGGUCUACCAAGGCGACGACGGGUAGCCGACAUGAGAGGGUGAUCGGCCACAAGGGGACUGAGAGACGGCGCAGACUCGUACGGGAGGCAGCAGUGGGGAAUAUUGCACAAUGGGCGCAAGCCUGAUGAAGCGACGCCGCGUGAGGGAUGACGGCCUUCGGGUUAUAAACCUCUUUCAACAGGGACGAAGCGUGAGUGACGGUACCUGGAGAAGAAGCACCGGCUAACUACGUG
rnacentral:rRNA from 1 species